CAGGGAUUGCCUCAGUAACGGCGAGUGAAGCGGCAACAGCUCAAAUUUGAAAGCUAGCUCCUUCGGGGUUCGCAUUGUAAUUUGUAGAGGAUGUUUCGGGUGCGGCGCCGGUCUAAGUUCUUUGGAACAAGACGUCAUGGAGGGUGAGAAUCCCGUAUGUGACUGGUGUCCUGUGCUCAUGUGAAACUCCUUCGACGAGUCGUGUAGUUUGGGAAUGCUGCGCAAAAUGGGAGGUGUAUUUCUUCUAAAGCUAAAUACUGGCCAGAGACCGAUAGCGCACAAGUAGAGUGAUCGAAAGAUGAAAAGCACUUUGGAAAGAGAGUUAAACAGUACGUGAAAUUGUUGAAAGGGAAGCGCUUGCAAUCAGACUUGCGCGGCGCCGAUCAGCCUGGGUUCUCCCUGGUGUACUCGGCGUCGCUCAGGCCAGCAUCAGUUCUGGUGGUGGGAUAAAGGCUUGGGGAACGUGGGUCGCCUCGGCGAUCGUUAUAGCCCCAGGUGCAAUGCCGCCUACCGGGACUGAGGACCGCGCUUCGGCUAGGAUGCUGGCGUAAUGGUUGUAAGCGACCCGUCUUGAAACACGGACCAAGGAGUCUAACACUCACGCGAGUAUUUGGGUGUCAAACCCAUAUGCGUAAUGAAAGUGAACGGAGGUGAGAACCCUGAAGGGUGCAUCAUCGACCGAUCCUGAUGUCUUCGGAUGGAUUUGAGUAAGAGCGUGAUUGCUGGGACCCGAAAGAUGGUGAACUAUGCCUGAAUAGGGUGAAGCCAGGGGAAACCCUGGUGGAGGCUCGCAGCGGUUCUGACGUGCAAAUCGAUCGUCAAAUUUGGGUAUAGGGGCGAAAGACUAAUCGAACCAUCUAGUAGCUGGUUCACGCCGAAGUUUCCCUCAGGAUAGCAGUGUUGUAUUCAGUUUUAUGAGGUAAAGCGAAUGAUUAGAGGACUGGGGGUCGAAACGACCUUCACCUAUUCUCAAACUUUAAAUAUGUAAGAAGU
rnacentral:rRNA from 1 species